CACCCACGCGAGCAUUGUCUGCUAUGACUUGAUGUAGGAAUGUUUGAUUCGCGCUAUGCUUGGCUUCGCCUGAACAGGCGCUUAUUGGACGUUAUUCCUGUCGUAGUGUCAUCAACUGGACAACCGUAACUAAUGCGUGACUUGGCUUUUGAACCGUCUUUGCUGUGCGAACUAAAGUGACAGCUUCGGCUGUCGAUUGUCGACCCAUUUGACAAAUUGUGCUGUGUGACUUCGUAUGCGCAGCAUACCCUUCCCACCCCACAACA
rnacentral:rRNA from 1 species